rnacentral:pre_miRNA from 1 species
GAGAUACUCUUACGGAGCAGGACUUGCUUCAGUGGGGCUUUGGUGCUCACUGAGUCUUCCCCUUGAGAGUGUCACU